rnacentral:misc_RNA from 1 species
GAUGAAGAACGUAGCGAAAUGCGAUAAGUAAUGUGAAUUGCAGAAUUCAGUGAAUCAUCGAAUCUUUGAACGCACAUUGCGCCCAUUAGCAUUCUAGUGGGCAUGCCUGUUCGAGCGUCAUUUCAACCCUUAAGCCCUGUUGCUUAGCGUUGGGAGCCUACAGUACUGUAGCUCCCCAAAGUUAGUGGCGGAGUCGGUUUCACACUCUAGACGUAGUAAUUUUUUCUCGUCUGUAGUUGAGCCGGUCCCCUGCCGUAAAACACCCAAUUUAUCAAGGUUGACCUCGGAUCAGGUAGGAAUACCCGCUGAACUUAAGCAUAUCAAUAACGGAGGA